CCCUUAGAUGUUCUGGGCCGCACGCGCGCUACACUGACGAAUGCAACGAGCUUAUAACCUUGGCCGAAAGGUCUGGGUAAUCUCCAAAUUUCGUCGUGAUGGGGAUAGAUUAUUGCAAUUAUUAAUCUUCAACGAGGAAUUCCUAGUAAACGCAAGUCAUCAGCUUGCAUUGAUUACGUCCCUGCCCUUUGUACACACCGCCCGUCGCACCUACCGAUUGAAUGGUCCGGUGAAUCUUUAGGACUGUGGCUGAGGCCUUGCCUUGUGCGGGUCUGGCCGUGGGAAUUUAGUUAAACCUUACCAUUUAGAGGAAGGUGAAGUCGUAACA
rnacentral:rRNA from 1 species